GGGUUGUGAGGUUAAGCGACUAAGCGUACACGGUGGAUGCCCUGGCAGUCAGAGGCGAUGAAGGACGUGCUAAUCUGCGAAAAGCGUCGGUAAGGUGAUAUGAACCGUUAUAACCGGCGAUGUCCGAAUGGGGAAACCCAGUGUGAUUCGUCACACUAUCGUUAACUGAAUACAUAGGUUAACGAGGCGAACCGGGGGAACUGAAACAUCUAAGUACCCCGAGGAAAAGAAAUCAACCGAGAUUCCCCCAGUAGCGGCGAGCGAACGGGGAGCAGCCCAGAGUCUGAAUCAGCUUGUGUGUUAGUGGAACGGUCUGGAAAGUCCGACGGUACAGGGUGAUAGUCCCGUACACCAAAAUGCACAGGUUGUGAACUCGAAGAGUAGGGCGGGACACGUGGUAUCCUGUCUGAAUAUGGGGGGACCAUCCUCCAAGGCUAAAUACUCCUGACUGACCGAUAGUGAACCAGUACCGUGAGGGAAAGGCGAAAAGAACCCCGGCGAGGGGAGUGAAAAAGAACCUGAAACCGUGUACGUACAAGCAGUGGGAGCACCUUCGGGUGUGACUGCGUACCUUUUGUAUAAUGGGUCAGCGACUUAUAUUCUGUAGCAAGGUUAACCGUAUAGGGGAGCCGCAGGGAAACCGAGUCUUAACUGGGCGUUAAGUUGCAGGGUAUAGACCCGAAACCCGGUGAUCUAGCCAUGGGCAGGUUGAAGGUUGGGUAACACUAACUGGAGGACCGAACCGACUAAUGUUGAAAAAUUAGCGGAUGACUUGUGGCUGGGGGUGAAAGGCCAAUCAAACCGGGAGAUAGCUGGUUCUCCCCGAAAGCUAUUUAGGUAGCGCCUCGUGAACUCAUCUUCGGGGGUAGAGCACUGUUUCGGCUAGGGGGUCAUCCCGACUUACCAACCCGAUGCAAACUACGAAUACCGAAGAAUGUUAUCACGGGAGACACACGGCGGGUGCUAACGUCCGUCGUGAAGAGGGAAACAACCCAGACCGCCAGCUAAGGUCCCAAAGUCAUGGUUAAGUGGGAAACGAUGUGGGAAGGCACAGACAGCCAGGAUGUUGGCUUAGAAGCAGCCAUCAUUUAAAGAAAGCGUAAUAGCUCACUGGUCGAGUCGGCCUGCGCGGAAGAUGUAACGGGGCUAAACCAUGCACCGAAGCUGCGGCAGCGACACUAUGUGUUGUUGGGUAGGGGAGCGUUCUGUAAGCCUGCGAAGGUGUGCUGUGAGGCAUGCUGGAGGUAUCAGAAGUGCGAAUGCUGACAUAAGUAACGAUAAAGCGGGUGAAAAGCCCGCUCGCCGGAAGACCAAGGGUUCCUGUCCAACGUUAAUCGGGGCAGGGUGAGUCGACCCCUAAGGCGAGGCCGAAAGGCGUAGUCGAUGGGAAACAGGUUAAUAUUCCUGUACUUGGUGUUACUGCGAAGGGGGGACGGAGAAGGCUAUGUUAGCCGGGCGACGGUUGUCCCGGUUUAAGCAUGUAGGCUGGUUAUCCAGGCAAAUCCGGAUAAUCAAGGCUGAGGUGUGAUGACGAGGCACUACGGUGCUGAAGUAACAAAUGCCCUGCUUCCAGGAAAAGCCUCUAAGCAUCAGGUAACAUUAAAUCGUACCCCAAACCGACACAGGUGGUCAGGUAGAGAAUACCAAGGCGCUUGAGAGAACUCGGGUGAAGGAACUAGGCAAAAUGGUGCCGUAACUUCGGGAGAAGGCACGCUGGUGUGUAGGUGAAGUCCCUGCGGAUGGAGCUGAGACCAGUCGAAGAUACCAGCUGGCUGCAACUGUUUAUUAAAAACACAGCACUGUGCAAACACGAAAGUGGACGUAUACGGUGUGACGCCUGCCCGGUGCCGGAAGGUUAAUUGAUGGGGUUAUCCGUAAGGAGAAGCUCUUGAUCGAAGCCCCGGUAAACGGCGGCCGUAACUAUAACGGUCCUAAGGUAGCGAAAUUCCUUGUCGGGUAAGUUCCGACCUGCACGAAUGGCGUAAUGAUGGCCAGGCUGUCUCCACCCGAGACUCAGUGAAAUUGAACUCGCUGUGAAGAUGCAGUGUACCCGCGGCAAGACGGAAAGACCCCGUGAACCUUUACUAUAGCUUGACACUGAACAUUGAGCCUUGAUGUGUAGGAUAGGUGGGAGGCUUUGAAGCGUGGACGCCAGUCUGCGUGGAGCCAACCUUGAAAUACCACCCUUUAAUGUUUGAUGUUCUAACGUUGGCCCCUGACCGGGGUUGCGGACAGUGUCUGGUGGGUAGUUUGACUGGGGCGGUCUCCUCCCAAAGCGUAACGGAGGAGCACGAAGGUUAGCUAAUCCUGGUCGGACAUCAGGAGGUUAGUGCAAUGGCAUAAGCUAGCUUGACUGCGAGCGUGACGGCGCGAGCAGGUGCGAAAGCAGGUCAUAGUGAUCCGGUGGUUCUGAAUGGAAGGGCCAUCGCUCAACGGAUAAAAGGUACUCCGGGGAUAACAGGCUGAUACCGCCCAAGAGUUCAUAUCGACGGCGGUGUUUGGCACCUCGAUGUCGGCUCAUCACAUCCUGGGGCUGAAGUAGGUCCCAAGGGUAUGGCUGUUCGCCAUUUAAAGUGGUACGCGAGCUGGGUUUAGAACGUCGUGAGACAGUUCGGUCCCUAUCUGCCGUGGGCGCUGGAGAAUUGAGGGGGGCUGCUCCUAGUACGAGAGGACCGGAGUGGACGCAUCACUGGUGUUCGGGUUGUCAUGCCAAUGGCACUGCCCGGUAGCUAAAUGCGGAAGAGAUAAGUGCUGAAAGCAUCUAAGCACGAAACUUGCCCCGAGAUGAGUUCUCCCUGAGACUUUAAGUCUCCUGAAGGAACGUUAAAGACGAUGACGUUGAUAGGCCGGGUGUGUAAGCGCAGCGAUGCGUUGAGCUAACCGGUACUAAUGAACCGUGAGGCUUAACCUUACAACGCCGAAG
rnacentral:rRNA from 1 species